UCCCUAGUGGCUCAAAUGGUAAAGAAUCUGCCUAUAAUUCAGGAGACCCAGGUUCAAUCCCUGGGCAGGGAA
rnacentral:tRNA from 1 species